CCCUGGCAGACGGCCAUCCUUAAAAGAUUUCAGGUCCAGGUGUUUUUCUCUGCUGCUCCUGCGUGGAGUCCGGGUGGAUGGAUAAUUGGGGAAGGAGGCCAGGAAAUCAAGAUAAUUCUCUCCCACAUUUAUGAGCCUUAUGGCGGGGGGAGUACUACAAGGAAGCACAUACUGAAUGCAUGACCCAAACUGCUAUUUGGAGAUGAGGAAACAAAUUCAGAAUUAAGUGACUUGUCCCAGAUCACACAAUUAGUUACAGGCAGAACGGAGACAAGGUGAUGGAAACUACUACUGCUGGCAAACAUUCUACUAUGUGGCAUACACGGGACCAAUACUUUAUACAGACUACUUUGUUUAAUCCUUACAACGGCUCUGUAGUAUUAUCCCCCGUUUACAAACAAGGAAACAUGGAGGCUUAAAGAAGUAACUGCCUACCCAGCUAACAAGUGGUCAAACCCGCGUCUAUAUUGCUCUUAACUGCUGCGGUACACUGUCAUCCCGCCUUUCUGUUAAUGAUUCAGCUCAGGGAGUCUGUCCCGAAACCUGGGGUCACCAAACCAAUUAAGCCAGAUGAUCAACUAUGGUAUGGGGAAAAAUGUUACACCUAGACUGUUUUAAAUAUUCUUUUACAUUUCUGUGUGUCUUGGUAAAAUAUUAGAAAAAAGUACAUUUACAAUUACAAAUAAAUGCAUAAAUAGGUCGAACUGGUGGGUAUACUGAAAAUGUUGUUGACAGGGUUCAGGAACAAGUGUGUUUCACACCCAGUUCUAAGUGACUGACACACUAACAAU